UAUCCACACGCAACAGUAUGCCACGCAGUUCAAAGUUCCAAAAACAUAUAUUGUGUCAAACUCAAGACAUCAUUUCUUGAGUAUUGAGUCUCGUGUCCACCGAAGCAAAGUAGAUUGACAAUAUGGUGUUUUUAUUUACAGAUGUGUAUAUCCUCAAUAUUUUUUUUUUUCUUUUAAGGAUUUGGUCCUCUUUGAACUGGAGCAGGAUCCUCCAAGCUUUUCUGGACAGGAACAAUCUGGUUUCUGCUUUGAUCCGAGAUUUACCAUGCAGAAGAAGUGUCCUCUUUGCUCUGUGGUGUUUCCUCCUAACUAUGAUCAGACCCAGUUUGAAGCUCAUGUGGAGAGUCACUGGAAGAUUUGCCCCAUGUGCAAUGAGCAGUUUCCCCCAGACUGCGACCAGCAGAUCUUCGAGAGGCAUGUUCAGACACACUUCGAUGGGAGCGUCUUAAAUUUCUAGUCAGUGUCUGAAUAGCUUUGUGAUUGUAAGAAGUGCACCUUAAAUAAUUGGAACAGCCUAGCAAUAUAAUCGUUUCUUUUUUUUGCAAGUCCUAAGUAAAUCUCUUGUAAUCUCACAUGCUACGGACUAUGGAUUUUAUCGGUAUGUGUCAGCUUUCUAUUAACAGAACUGCAUGAGGUUGUAUGGCUUAAACCCUUACAGCAGAUUGCAUGGGACUGGUAGAAAGGCUCUAUUUUCACACCAGUGGUGGCAGAUUGCAGCAUGCAUUUCACUAAUAACUCUUUCCAGCUUUGUGUUACACAUUAGUAGCCAAGCAGACGUUUGAUAUAAUAUACCCCCGUGGGAUUCCAUGACCAUGUACUUUCUAACUACCUGCAAAGAAACCUUAACGGUCUGCUGUAUCAUUUUAUCACGAGCACUUGAAAGAGCCGAAAUCCGGAGAAGCGCUCUGGAAUUGGUGGCUGAUUAAUAACCUAAUCCCAGUAUGAUGUACCCCCUGAUAAGCAAGUCAUUGGAGAAUACAAAAUACAUUUUCGUGCAGCUUAUCUAGUUGGUGGUACACUGAAAACUGAACUGUAUAAAUUAGAAAUUAUUUAAAUUUUCACGUGUUUUUGUUCUAAAAGGAAUCUUUGCUUUGUCUCAGAUUUUAGUGCGAAAAUGUGUUCCAUGGCAGCAUCAAUAUUAUAGUACAUGUCUACAAUAGUAGUCUGUAUUUGAUGAUCCCUUUACUUUUCAAAUUUUCCUUCUGUUGCAAUCCUGUUUUCAAUAAAGGAAAAUCAAUAUA